UUCUCUUUUCGUCCACAGCCUGCUGCCAAAUGUUUCGGGAGAUACCCAGUUGAUAGACAUUUGUCUCUCCAAGAGAGAAAAGAAGCACUGUAUAAUUUUGCAAGAAGACGCUACAUCGAGAAACACGGAUUGGAUCAAGAAGACAGUCACUGAACUCGCUUUGGGUCAAGCCAUCAUUGAUAAUAUGUCAGAGAGAAGCAUAUUCAACCUGCAUAGCUGUCUAAAUUGAAUGGUGAUUUUAUAUUCCGUCAACAGGUUCUGUUGCAAAACAGAUCUUGUUAAUUGCAAAUAAAGGUGACAAGUGUUCAGAACAUGUUAUGUUGAUGGAAUGGUGAUUAUGCAUGUGUUUAAUUCUUCAUCCUGGCUGGUACAUAAUUUUGAUAACAAUUUGUAUUACGAUCCACUGACUGUGAAUCAUCUAUUUAUUUUUAUAAUGUCCAGAGUCGUUGAUGAAAAAUAAAGUUCAGCUUGACCUUAAGAAA